rfam:Anolis carolinensis chromosome Tnknown cont2.36561, whole genome shotgun sequence.
AUCUGCCUAAGUGCCCUUAAAGAACCAGAUCCCUUCUGACCUUGGAAGCUAAAAAAGGUCAGCUCUGAUUAGUACUUGGAUGGGAGACCACCAAUGAAUCCCAGGUACUGUAGACU